rnacentral:rRNA from 1 species
UCGAGAAUCUUCCGCAAUGGACGCAAGUCUGACGGAGCGACGCCGCGUGCGGGAUGAAGGCCUUCGGGUUGUAAACCGCUGUCAGAGGGGAGCAAAUUUUGAGCGAUCCUCAGAGGAAGCGCAGGCUAAGUUCGUGCCAGCAGCCGCGGUAAUACGAACUGCGCAAACGUUAUUCGGAAUCACUGGGCUUAAAGGGUGCGUAGGCGGCGAUAUAGGUCAGGUGUGAAAUCCCACGGCUCAACCGUGGAACUGCGCUUGAAACCAUUUCGCUUGAGGGAGUCAGAGGUGAGCGGAACUGAUGGUGGAGCGGUGAAAUGCGUUGAUAUCAUCAGGAACACCGGUGGCGAAAGCGGCUCACUGGGACUUUUCUGACGCUGAGGCACGAAAGCUAGGGGAGCGAACGGGAUUAGAUACCCCUGUAGUCC